GCCGAGGACGUGCGGCUCGGGGAUCUUUGCAACGAAGGCCGCACCAAGCUGCUUCUCAGGGCCGACAUAUCGGGAACAGAGAUCAAACAAUAUGGAAUGGAGGAUUACAAACUCAAAAUUAAGGGUCUCUCCGGAGCAACGAUAGAGAUAGGCGCUUCGC
rnacentral:snRNA from 1 species